UCCUUGGUAGUUAAGUGGCUAAGACUCUGUACUCCCAAUACAGGGGCCUGAGUUUGAUCCCUGGUCAGGGAA
rfam:TPA: Bos taurus chromosome 19, whole genome shotgun sequence.